rnacentral:tRNA from 1 species
GGGGUUGUGGCUCAGCAGUAGAGCACUCACCUUGCACGUGUGGGACGAUGGGUUUGACCCUCAGCACCA